rnacentral:rRNA from 1 species
UACGAAGGGGGCUAGCGUUGUUCGGAAUCACUGGGCGUAAAGCGCACGUAGGCGGAUUGUUAAGUCGGGGGUGAAAUCCUGAGGCUCAACCUCAGAACUGCCUCCGAUACUGGCAAUCUCGAGUUCGGAAGAGGUUGGUGGAACAGCUAGUGUAGAGGUGAAAUUCGUAGAUAUUAGCUAGAACACCAGUGGCGAAGGCGGCCAACUGGUCCGACACUGACGCUGAGGUGCGAAAGCUAGGGGAGCAAACGGG